CGUGCACGCUGGCGGUAGGCCUAACACAUGCAAGUCGAACGGCAGCACAGUAAGAGCUUGCUCUUACGGGUGGCGAGUGGCGGACGGGUGAGGAAUACAUCGGAAUCUACUUUUUCGUGGGGGAUAACGUAGGGAAACUUACGCUAAUACCGCAUACGACCUACGGGUGAAAGCAGGGGAUCUUCGGACCUUGCGCGAUUGAAUGAGCCGAUGUCGGAUUAGCUAGUUGGCGGGGUAAAGGCCCACCAAGGCGACGAUCCGUAGCUGGUCUGAGAGGAUGAUCAGCCACACUGGAACGGAGACACGGUCCAGAGUCCUGCGGGAGGCAGCAGUGGGGAAUAUUGGACAAUGGGCGCAAGCCUGAUCCAGCCAUACCGCGUGGGUGAAGAAGGCCUUCGGGUUGUAAAGCCCUUAUGUUGGGAAAGAAAAGCAGCAGGUUAAUACCCCGCUGUUCUGACGGUACCCAAAGAAUAAGCACCGGCUAACUUCGUG
rnacentral:rRNA from 1 species